CUGCGCCAGAGCAAACCAUCCUUUGGGGAGACCCCGCCUCUCGGACCGCCUAGUACCGCCUGAGCAGCGAGGUUGUCUCGGAUCCCCGCCUGUGCCCGAAGUCAGAACGCAGAGCCACGCCCCCACUGGUUUGUUCUGGACCAUUUCCAUGGGCACGUUAACCACGUUUGAUAUUGAUAUAUCAUGAAAGUUCAGAAGCAUCCCUCAGGAGCCUGGGAAUUCUCAAGGAAGAUCUGUCUCUAUAGGAGAACAGCCCUCUACUUUGAAAACCACCAGACAACAAACUCUACUGGCCUGGACUGAGGCAAACUGAACCUGUAAGGUAAAAUGUACAAGACCAUUUCCAGGUUUGAAAAGCUACCAAACCCCACCAAUCCCUGAGCAUGAAAUCCCACCAGUUCCUGGCUUGGCUUGAAAUGUCACCAAUCCCCAUCCUGGAAAUCUCCAUCCUGGAAAAGUCUUCCCCCAAGAAACCCUAUGUAGGCCUGUCUCCUGCUCAGUUCUCUGAUGCUUCUCACUCAAGGAGAGACAGACACUCUUUUGUAUCUCUUCCAAUAAAUCUAUUAUGUGAGGUUAUUGUGCCAUGUGACUACCAGGAUUCCUUUCCCUUCAGGAUUGUGACAUCUGCAUUAGGGAAAUUAUCCCUCUCAGGGCAGAGCUGUAACACUUCCACUGGGGAAACUUUCCCCUCACAAAAGCAACACUUCCACUGGGGAAACUUUUCCCCUCAGAAAAGCAACAUCUCUGUGGUGGUUUGAGAGAAAAUGGGCCCUAAAGGGAGUGACACUUUCAGGAGGCAUGGCCUUGUUGGAGGAAGUGCGUCACUUGUCACUGUGGGGGUAGGCUCUGAAGUCUCUUUUCUCAAGCUUCACUCAGUGUGACCAUCAGUUGACUUUCUGUUGCCUGCAAGAUGUAGAACUCUCAGCUAUUCCUCCAACAUCUGCUCAUCUCCAUGCUCCCCACCAUGAUGAUAAUGGACUGAACUUCUGAAACUGUAAGGGAGCACCCCCCC
rnacentral:lncRNA from 1 species